ensembl:snoRNA SNORD39 Small nucleolar RNA SNORD55/SNORD39
CAAGUUUUUUGAAACUAUUGAGAACAAAAAUGCAGCAUACCACUUGAGUGUGCAGUGGGGAAGCCAACCUUGGAGAGCUGAGCAUGUG